UGGGGAAUAUUGGGCAAUGGGCGAAAGCCUGACCCAGCAACGCCGCGUGAAGGAAGAAGGUCUUCGGAUCGUAAACUUCUAUCCCCGGUGAAGAUAAUGACGGUAACCGGGAAGGAAGCCCCGGCUAACUACGUGCCAGCAGCCGCGGUAAUACGUAGGGGGCAAGCGUUGUCCGGAAUGAUUGGGCGUAAAGGGCGCGUAGGCGGCUCGGUAAGUCUGGAGUGAAAUUCCUGCUUUCAAGGUGGGAACUGCUUUGGAUACUGUCGGGCUUGAGUGCAGGAGAGGAAAGCGGAAUUCCUAGUGUAGCGGUGAAAUGCGUAGAUAUUAGGAGGAACACCAGUGGCGAAGGCGGCUUUCUGGACAGUAACUGACGCUGAGGCGCGAAAGCGUGGGGAGCAAACA
rnacentral:rRNA from 1 species